AGAGCUUCCUUAUGCAAUAAAAAGCCGGUUGGAUCCAGAGUGCCUUUCGCGUUAGUACACAGGUCAGUAAGACCGGUGUGUACACAAGGCCGGUGUGUACACAAUGCACUUAUUUGGAUUGAGAGAAAAAAACUACCGGAAUACUAUCUUAUGUGUCAUUAAAAGAGAAAAUCGUUGAAUUAUCCAACCACACGUGGGUGACGUUCAUUUCCAAUUGUACGAACACACUAAUUUCAUAAGCGACUUUAACAAGGUGCCUGUACCACGUGACUUUUUCGGCUUUGUGUGGGACAAUCGGCUGUCAACAAACCAUCGCUUCAUACUUGACAAGGAUAAGUCGAAGGAUUUGUAACGCUUUAAAGCGCGAAGCUUUGUUAGAAUUAGAUGAACACCAUCAAACCACACGGAAGGUGUUAUGCGGCAAGUUAAUUAUCAAAACCACAGUGACAGAGACGGACCCAGCUUCAUUCUGUGCUGUUUACGGAAAGCUAUUUCAACUAACUAUGCAAACAUACCAUUUAAUAUGUAUUUUGGCAUAAUCAAAACAAAGUGUAUGUAUUGAUAUUUGUGUAUAUUUAUGUGUUUUGUAUCUAUGUUAUUAAUGAAAUUGAUUAGAUGAAUAUAAAAUCUGAGUAUAUAUGUUAAUAAAACAAUUGUUUCAUAACAAAUAACAAUAUAAAUCCAA